UGGGGAUGUAAAUUGGUGCAGCCACUGUGGGACAGUAUAGAGGUUCCUCAAAAAAUCAGAAAUACUAAAUUAUCCAGUAAUUCAAGUACCGACUACCCAAAGAAAACAAAUACUAAUCUUAAAAAAUACAUGCACCCCUAUGUUUAUUGCAGCAUUAUUUACAAUACCAAGAUACGGAAGCAAUCUGAGUUCAAUGGAUCAAUGGAUGGAGAAGAUGUGGCAUAUAAGGCUGGAGGGAAGAGGGCUUGGGAGACAAGUUGAUCAAAGCUCAAAGUGUUUCACUCCAGGAGGGUGCCGCCAAGACCUGGAGCUCUCCUCUCUCAACUCUUAGUCUAGGAGAGCUUUAUGGCAUCUUCCCAGGAGGGGCAGGCCACCAGCAGAGUAAAGCAGCACAAAGGAAGUAGAUGGGAGCGAAGCUGAACUGGAGUGAAGAAAUGAUAUCAGAUGGUAACCUGAAUUCACAGGAACUAAUGAACCAGAAAAGCUUUAUCACACUGUGGCUCUUCUUCCAAGAAAAAAAGCACAUGCAAAACUACAGGGGUUCGUAGGUUUGGGACCUGUCAGUGCCUGGCAGAGAGAACAUCCAACUGAACGUGGAGUGGCUCUUACACAAGGAUUUGUGGUGAAUGGUGUCUACAAUAAACAAGGUUUAGGUAUCCCAUAAAAGAGACCUAAGAUUCUAGAUCACUCCUGAUAGAAUACCUACCAAGGAA